CUUCCAUAAAUCUCUUUAUCUAUACAUGUUAGGAGAGAAUCCUUCAUAAUUUUGGCAUUUUUGCAAAUCUCCUGAAUAAAAGAUACCGAAAGAAUAACUGUAUUAACAGGCAGCUUUAGAAGUUAAAGGUAGUAUCUCCCUAAGAUAGAGACAGUGGGAACAUUUUGAGCCAUGAGACCUUACUCCUCUCUCUCUAGAAACAUUUGCUUACUUUAAGGUAAAAAGUACAAAGAAACUUCCUCCUUUUAUCUGGAGGAGAUCUGGUUAACACUGGAUUUCUCUGAAGAGGAGGAGGGAUAGAAGUGUUAGCUGCCCUAUAUAAACUCUCAGUCUUCUAUGUUCAAGGUUCCUCUCCUGUGCUACAUACAACCUACUGCAGAUGCAGGGCAAUAUCUGGCUCUCAUCAUGUUGCCCCAUGGGGCUUGAGGCUUGACGAAUCCACACUAAGGUAAAGAGACCAGGAAACACCAAAGAAAAAUAUCAGUGAAAUAUGCCUUGACAUCCUACCUCUCUACUCUAUCAGAACCUCCAGAAUGGCCUCCUCUACCAAUCAAUGUCAACAAACAAACAUAAAAAUAAUAACAAAACAACAUAAAGAUCACAGGCAAAAGUAUCAGAAGACCUUCAUCCAAAUUCUUUCCUAUCCUUAUUUCAAGAAUCCAGAAUACUUUGAAAUGAAAAGAGCAGGACACAGGAUGAAAAGCAAGAGAUGGCUAAUGUCUGCAAAAUACAAGAGCCCUGAAUAACCAUCCUUGCCGGUGAAUAAACAAAGGAGAGAUUGGCCUUUUUGAAGGAAGCACACUUUGCUUCAAGUAAUGCAAGAGAGCAUCAUAAGAAUAUGCUCCAGGUGAAGGCAGAGGAACACAAAAGCAAGUGGAAAGGCAAUGUUAUACGACAAAUAAGAUGGCUACAGAAAAAGAAAUAAAGGACAUGCAUUUCAAGUUUGUAUGCGGGUUACAUUUGAGCCUUGAAGAUGACAGAUCCUAUUCUUACAGGUAAAUGAUUUGAAGUUUUCAUGGAAGAGGACCAUGUAAAUGUUGGAAAAUGUAAUACAACUAGAUAAGAUGAAAACUGAAGAUAUUAAUGCAACAAUUGAUAGUGAAGAAAACAGUAGGGUUCCAAAUAGGUAUUGAUCAGAUAAAAGAAUUGGCAGUGUGAAUGUAUAUAAUCUAGAAGGGUAUGAUAUAGUGAGAAAUGAGAAUAACUGUAGCAAUGAAAUACUGGAGUGGCACAAGUACUGUUGAGAGUAUGAUCGAAGGAAAAAUGACUAUUGGAAUAGAUUGUUGCAGGUGAGGAGGUAGACAAUCUGAAAAAAGGAAAAGUGUUAGGCACAUAUGCGUAUGUAGUGAUAUAUACAUGAAUUAUGAUAAGACAAAGAAUAAAAUAAGUAAUGCAGGUGGUAGAAGCAUUAAUAAAUGAGGGGAAAGAAUCAAAAGACAGCUACAAGGAAAGGUAGUAGCAUAAUUAUGAUGUUACAAAUGUCAGGGAAAUUUGGUGUUUUUGAGGAAGAAGGGAGAUGAGUGCUCUAGAAGUAAGUAUGGGCUUUAUGGACACUGGAGGCAGACACAAUUUCAUCGAUAAAACAGAAAUGCUUCUACCAGAAAGGAAGAACAAAACUGAUUCCUCAAAAGUAAUCUUAGCUAACUUAAGGCUGGCUGCCUAAAUACUGAGAUAGAUUUUUCACUUUUAUUCAGAUUAGACUAUGAGGGCAUUAGAUGAGGGUCAUAUGAAUUCCAUUAUAAGAAGUAGCAGCAGACCAAAAAAGAAAACUAACUUAGUAACAUUCUACUCAAAGUCCCCUACUUUCUUUUUUGUGCAAACCAAGAGACUUUUAAUGGUGAAAUACGGCAUUAAAGUAAUUAAGAUUACUGUUAUUAUUAAUUGUUGUUGACUAAAAUACCAGUUUCAUUAUAUUUGUGGACCUUUAAAACCAUUCUGAUUGAAAACUCUAUUCAAAAAUAAAAUUCUUUCUAAAUAAGAUAUGUGUUUUUAUAGAGUUUAGAAAAAAAUGUUUUGGGAUAGAAUUUUUUUUAAGUUUAUUUAUUUAUUUUGAGAGAAAGAGACAGCAUGAACACAGGAGGGGCAGAGAGAGAGAAAGAGAGAGAGAGAAGAGAUAAAAUCCUAAGCAGGCAGUUCGAACUCAUGAAGAUGAACCUGGAGAUCACGACCUAAGCUGAAGUCAAGAGUCAGAUGCUUAACUGAGUCAACCAGGUGCCUGUGAUAGAAGUUUUUAAUAUAAUGCCCCCAAAUGGCAGUUGCUUUGGUUUCUAUAGAAUAAAAUUCCAAAACUUCAAUUUAAUUUGAAGAAUUGAACUAAAUAUAUCUUAUGACAACAGUGUAAACCUGCCAUCGUUUAAAUGUUUUUAACUAACAAUAAAAAUUUGCUAAUCUAUAAAAUAAUGGUUAUUUGAAGCCCCAUGAGAUAAGAUUGCAAAGUAAUUUAGUGAGCUAAAGUUUAAAGAAGAUGAACUUCUCCUUGGAGAAAUGAAACCCAAGCUGUUUCAUCUUUGGUAGAGUAACACUAAGAGGUGGUUUAGAACCCCAAAGAGCUUUGAAAUUACAAGGGACACCUGCCAAUUUUCUACAUAGGCCUCUACUAUUUGCAUUUUGCAUAUGAAACAUUCAGUGGCAGGCGGGAAAAUGUAUCAAAACAUCCUCCUGCUGUGUCUCUGGUCCUGGGGGAUCUAAGGCAGCAGUAGAAGACCUGGAAAAAACUGUUCCAC